AGAGUUUGAUUAUGGCUCAGGAUGAACGCUGGCGGCGUGCCUAACACAUGCAAGUCGAACGGGGUUAUUUAGGAAAUUUCCUUCGGGGAAUGGAAUCUUUAACCUAGUGGCGGACGGGUGAGUAACGCGUGAGCAAUCUGCCUUCGGAUGGGGGAUAACAGCCGGAAACGGCUGCUAAUACCGCAUAACACAUGGGAUCCGCAUGUUUCCCAUGUCAAAGAUUUAUCGUCCGGAGAUGAGCUCGCGUCUGAUUAGCUGGUUGGCGGGGUAACGGCCCACCAAGGCGACGAUCAGUAGCCGGACUGAGAGGUUGAACGGCCACAUUGGGACUGAGACACGGCCCAGACUCCUACGGGAGGCAGCAGUGGGGAAUAUUGCGCAAUGGGGGCAACCCUGACGCAGCAACGCCGCGUGAUUGAAGAAGGCCUUCGGGUUGUAAAGAUCUUUAAUCGGGGACGAAUUUUGACGGUACCCGAAGAAUAAGCUCCGGCUAACUACGUGCCAGCAGCCGCGGUAAUACGUAGGGAGCAAGCGUUAUCCGGAUUUACUGGGUGUAAAGGGCGUGUAGGCGGGCAUGCAAGCCAGAAGUGAAAUCUGGGGGCUUAACCCCCAAACUGCUUUUGGAACUGCGUGUCUUGAGUGAUGG
rnacentral:rRNA from 1 species